CUCACUCUAGUGACAGAGAGAGGGAGGGGGUGACUAGUGACAGUCACCACCUCCUUCACUCUGUCACUAGUCACCCCCUCCCUCUCUCUGUCACUAGUCACCCCC
rnacentral:miRNA from 1 species